UACGAAGGGGGCUAGCGUUGUUCGGAAUUACUGGGCGUAAAGCGCACGUAGGCGGACAUUUAAGUCAGGGGUGAAAUCCCAGAGCUCAACUCUGGAACUGCCUUUGAUACUGGGUGUCUAGAGUAUGGAAGAGGUGAGUGGAAUUCCGAGUGUAGAGGUGAAAUUCGUAGAUAUUCGGAGGAACACCAGUGGCGAAGGCGGCUCACUGGUCCAUUACUGACGCUGAGGUGCGAAAGCGUGGGGAGCAAACAGG
rnacentral:rRNA from 3 species